rnacentral:lncRNA from 1 species
AUGGUCCCAGCCUGGGGAGGUGCUCGCAUGUUUCUGGCCACCCACAGCACCGUGGGGUGGCACCGUGGCACCCAGCCUGCCACCGCCACCACGAGGGUGACCUGCUGGGGACAGCUGAGCUGGGCAGGGACCUCGGAGCAGCUGGGAUGUCCUACAGGCAGUGAUGCCCCAUCAGAGGGGGCCUGGACCCCGUCUGCGUGCUGUGCAGCAGCUGAAGGUGCAGCCAGGGCUGCAGCCACUCCAAAUUCAGCCAAAGCUGGCGGUGAAGCCCCGCUGGGGAUGGAAGAUGCAGCCCUUGGGGCAGGGAAGCUGUCCCCAGCCGUGGCAGACAGGGACAUGAGCCCAGCUCCUUGCGCUGCCGGCCCAGGAGCGCCGGGGCUUGGAGGGGUCCGUGCCGGUGGGAGCGGGCAAGGCUCGCUGUGCAGAGAGCAAAUGCGAGCCUCGUAUUGCUCGUUAUCUAAUCUGCGCCGCUUUCCCUCCUCCUUGUUUACCGUGCUUGAGUUUCCUCAAUUAAUUCUGACAGCUGCAGGCUGGGCCGUGACGUCAGCCGGCGGUGGCGAAGCCCAAAAGCCUGGAGAGGCAUCGAGUGUGACCCCGGGGGUGACCUCGGGGACCAGGUGGGACAAAGCCAUCGCUCCCCGUGCCUGGCACCUGCUGCCCGCAGCACCCCGAGCCUCUCGGGCUGACCACGAGAUGCCCCUCGGUGCCGCGAUGCUCUGCUCUGCCCCCUGCCAGGCUGCAGGGACCAGGGACGUGCCCCGUCCUCACACGUGGGACACCCAAACCUGUGCCACGCUGGUGCCGUGGGCUCCCAUGGCCCUGGGGCUCCUGGGGGGGUUGCAGUUGGUGGCCACGAGGGGUGCGGGGCUGGGCUUUGAGCAGAGGAGCCUUGGGCUCCCCUGUGCCCGCUGGGACCUUGCGGCACCUCUGCUGUCCCCACACCCUGCUGUGGAGUGGCAGGAUGGAGAGGGAAGGACGGGCUCCCCUGGAUGUGGAUUUGGACAAUCCUGGUGCCCCCAUCUUAGAAACAAGGGGACAAGGAGGAGCUCGAGCUCCUGA